CAGUCGCCGCGGUAAUACGUAGGUGGCAAGCGUUGUCCGGAAUUAUUGGGUGUAAAGGGCUCGCAGGCGGUUUCUUAAGUCUGAUGUGAAAGCCCCCGGCUCAACCGGGGAGGGUCAUUGGAAACUGGGAAACUUGAGUGCAGAAGAGGAGAGUGGAAUUCCACGUGUAGCGGUGAAAUGCGUAGAGAUGUGGAGGAACACCAGUGGCGAAGGCGACUCUCUGGUCUGUAACUGACGCUGAGGAGCGAAAGCGUGGGGAGCGAACAGGAUUAGAGACCCCUGUAGUCCCUGUCUCUUAUAA
rnacentral:rRNA from 1 species